rnacentral:rRNA from 1 species
GACGAACGCUGGCGGCGUGCUUAACACAUGCAAGUCGAACGGAAAGGCCCUGCUUUUGUGGGGUGCUCGAGUGGCGAACGGGUGAGUAACACGUGAGUAACCUGCCCUUGACUUUGGGAUAACUUCAGGAAACUGGGGCUAAUACCGGAUAGGAGCUCCUGCUGCAUGGUGGGGGUUGGAAAGUUUCGGCGGUUGGGGAUGGACUCGCGGGUUAUCAGCUUGUUUGGGGGGUAGUGGCUUACCAAGGCUUUGACGGGUAGCCGGCAUGAGAGGGGGACCAGGCACAAGAGGCCUACGGGAGGGAGCAGACGGGAACGGGAGGCAACGGGGGAAAGCAUGACACAGCAAGGGGGAGUCUGAUACGAAGGCGCCGGGUGCGGAAAGACGUCCUUCGAGUUAAGAACCGCUUUGGCCUGAGACGAACCGGGAGUGACGGUAACGGAUAAAGAAGCACCGGCUAACUACGUG